rnacentral:lncRNA from 1 species
UUUAUGAUGAAGGAGAGAAUACACACUACCAGCCCCAACCAGCACUGCCUGCCGCCGAGCUGCCGUAGGCUAACUGAGCUGUGGUUUCCAGGGGCAUGUGGAAACCAGUUCCCAUGCCUCAUGUCAGCUUUUAGGAGCAGGUAAGGAUGGGGAUUUUCUUGAAGAGCUUGAUAAGUCUUGGUGAAGGAUUUAGAUUUCAUUAUUCCCCGAGUAUGCUGGGGAGCCCUGGGGCUUUCAUCGGGAGGGUGGCAUGGAUUGAUCCCUCUGCAAUCAAUAGUGAGACCGGUCUGUCUGGUGGAGGUAAGCCUGUGACGGACGUCUUCAGACCUGGGAUGAGGAGUGGCAUGACACUGUGGAAAGGAAAGAUGACGUAACCCUCAGGAACACUGAGGAAGACUCAAACUCAGGAAGAGUUGCUAAGAGAUGAGGCCACUCCCGCGACUUUGGGGUUUUGAAUUGGGGAGCACAGAACUGGUAUGUGGCUGAGAGCUGGCUUAGACACACUGGAGGUGAGAUUCUCUUGGGACUCAGAGACAGAUGGCGAUGUUCAAGAAAAAGCAUCAAAUCACAGGAGUUACCGUUACCGAGAAACAGCAGGGACUGGGGGCAGGCACAAGGACUCUUCAGUGGCCUCAACAGUGAGUACCUCCAUCACACGUCAAAGAAGAUAUUGAGCUUCAUUACCUCCGAUUGGAGUUGCUUCAAUUAUGGCAAGCGAGCCACUGGAUAAGAAAUACUUUAAUUCAUUCUGCAGACAAAUGCUGUCCAAAAAAAGGACCAAUUGAAUGUGGAGUAGUCGAUUGUUAAGCGCUACCAAGACAGGGCGUGGAGGGUUCUCUCGGCAAUGACCCUGCUAGAGUACGGAUGAGGAAGGUCCUAAACCCUGGAACUUGCAGGGUCAUGAAGCCUACCUGGUCUUGAGAAUUGGAGACUGUCUUGUCAGAAAAUUGAAUCAACUGGAGAUGGAAGGCUGGGAGGAGACACAGCCAGAAGGAAGACAGAGAGCCAGGGCGCAGGCUCUUCCCAGACUCUGAAUCCACUGGUACCUUGGCCUUGUGACUUCCAGAACCCUGAAGAAUAAAUGAAAUGCAUUUCUGUCGUUUA